UGUGAUGCUGCCUCUCCCUGUUCCAGUGAACACCGUGUGCGUGGAGGGAUCACUCGCUCUGACCAGAAAUGAGACGCAAGCUGCUGUUCUCCGUGGGGCUGGUUGUGUUGGCAGUGUGGCAGAGCCAUGCCGAGCCACUGCAGUCGGAAACUCUCAGUGAGCUCCUUGGCCUACUGAGAGCCCUGGACUCUUUUGAUGGACAGGCUGGAGGAGACAGAUUAUUGGAGGGUGUGCCAGAGGCGGGGCUCAGCUCCGACAGCCUGGAGAAGAGGGACCUCCCACGGCUGGGCGUGUCCAUGGACAGGCCACUCCCCCAGAAGGGCGGGGACAGGAGGAUCUUGGAGGGCCCCAGGUACCGGUUCUCCUUCCCGCUACGUGGAUAAGGAGCGAGGCGGGAUGAUGCCCGAGAGGUCAGAGUUCACUCUAACCCUGAACCGCUUCUAGACUUCCUGUUGCUCCCACUCAAAUGUCCUGCCCCCCCCCCCUCAGGUGACAGUUCCACUGCUUGUGUAACAAAAUCGUGAAUCCAGCUCGGAAACCCUCAAGAACCCGACUCGAUGUCUCGAGAUAUUACUUUUCCAGCGCAUGCCGUUGUUGUCAGGGCUUGUAUCCUAAUAAAAUGCUCAGUUC
rnacentral:lncRNA from 1 species